GGUGGGAUCCCGGCCCCUCGGGGUCGGGCGCACCACCGGCCCGUCUCGCCCGCAGCGUCGGGGAGGUGGAGCGUGAGCGCGUGCGAUAGGACCCGAAAGAUGGUGAACUAUGCCUGGGCAGGGC
rnacentral:rRNA from 1 species